GCCGACGUAGCUCAAAGGCAGAGCGACCGCCUUGUAAGCGGUAGGUUACGGGUUCGAGCCCCGUCGUCGGCU
rnacentral:tRNA from 1 species